AGUGAAAACAGCAGAGAGACAGCUUCUAGCUACUUCUCAGCUGAGUGAGUUGACGCCCUGUUACCAUGGUAACCUCCUCAGCUUCAGCUUAAAUGCGAUUUGAAUGCUCAACGCGCGCGCUCAUUGGCCGUCCACACGAACGCAGUUAUUUUCAAAACAGCAGCUUUUUCUGUGCGCUUUGGCCGUUCGUCCUCGCGCAAACGCUGCACCAGGUCACUUGAGACUUUGUCAGGCUUCUGAUUGGCCAACAUGGCCUAAAACACAUCAAAGUUACGCAUUUACAUAAAAAGUACAAAAGUCAAAUAAAAUGUCCUGAAAUUUCAUCAUGUAUUGUUUAGUAGGUCUACAUCAAACUGUAAAUUGAAUGAGAAUAUGAAAGCAGUGAAUGCAAAACAUUGUUUGAAGUAAGUUGUAUAUAAAUAAAACAACAGGAUAUACUAUUCUAUAAUAUAACAUAUAAUAUAAUAUCAUAUCAGGCAUGAAUAUAAUUUCACAUGUAAACACAAUUAAGCACACAAUAUGAGCUUUAUGUUAUGCAUUUUAAAAAUAUAUUUUCAAAAUGUAUUUCAAUAUAUUUAACAGUGUUUCACAUAUAUGUGAAUAUAUUACCUUUCUGUAUGGGAAAACAUUGGGAUUUUAGUCAAAAAUAUUUGAAAUGGAUUUUAAAUGUGGGUCAAGAUCGGCAAUACUUAUGUGGCCCACAUAUCUACAUUUGACAUCUGGGCCAAAUACUACAUUUGACAUCUGGCCCAUGUCUUGUGUGCCGUCUUAAACCCGGUACAUCUCUGCCAAACCCGGGCCAUGUUUGGCCCACAUGCUGUAUGCCAGUGCUGGAUGAAUGCCAGCUGUGCCAGAUGCAUGCCAAAUCUGGGCCAAAUUUGUUUGCUGACUGGGUGGAUGUAUUGUAUUGGUCUUCGCACUUAAUUAGCUGGAAGACCAAACUGAGUGCAUUAAUUCUUUAGACUACACCAAAAUGUAGUGCUGACACUUUACAACAGAAAUAGCUUAACAUGCUCCAAGAAGUCAUUUAUCAAUGUAUUGUAAUGUAAUGUAUUUGUGUAGGACAAUCCAGAGUCUUGGGGUGUUUAAUGGAGCAAUGCUGCUGGGAAUGAAACAGGAUGACAUCAGAGCGAUAUGUCCUGAGGAAGGCGGUCGAGUCUUCUUCCAACUGCAGAGCGUCAGAUCAACUGUUGCACUUGCCAGUGAGGCUGAAUACAGCCAGUAUGGUGGCCGCUGAUAAUCUGAGGACACCGGUGCAUUUUGAUAGCAAGAAUCUGAACGUGUCUGGACCUGAAUGAACAAGAACUAUUCAGUAAACUCCUCAGCAUUUCCAUUCAUUAGACAACAAGCCAAAGCUAAUGCCUACAGACUUGUUCAGUUAUAUUAUCCCUCACACAUGCAAAUGAUGAAUACAUUUAAUGCAUUCAUUUUAUUUAUUUGAUACAGAUUGUUCCAUUAAAUUGAUUUCCACUGAUGUCACUGUGGUGGUGGGCACUUGUCUAAUUGUACUGUAUGUUAUUUGUGUUAAAUGAAAAUGAAUCAUGUCUGUAACACUGAUUGAUCCUGACACUGUAUAUUAAUAAAUGGUCAGUAAUCAACACAUUAGUAGCCAUAGUGUAUUGGUCUUAAAGUAAGCUUUUGAUUUUGGGGUUAAAUGUGUUUUUUUUUUUUACAUUUAAGUUCAACAAUCCAGUUGUGGGUUUGUGUUUUACCUCACAACAGUAAUAAAGUUAAUUUAAUCAGGAUCCCUUUGGUUUAAAAACCUGUUUUACAUUUGAAUGCGGGAUUGCAUUAUGUCAUUCAUGACCAUUUAAUUUCUAAUCAAUAAGAUCUAAAUGCUCAGAACUCCUUUAUUGGGUCAAAAUAAGGUCCUGAAGUUCAUGCUUUUUUUACAAUUCAAACAUAGAAAAUCUGAACAGUGAAAUAUCUAAUACACUAUAUCAUUAUGAUGUAAAUUUAGCAAAUUCUUUUUUUUAUUGGGAAGGUUAACAUGUACCAAAAAAUAAAGACAAAAUCUUGUCAUUUUUCAGUC